GACGUAGGGCGCGAGCGUUGUCCGGAUUUACUGGGCGUAAAGGGCGCGUAGGCGGCCACCGCAAGUCGACUGUGAAAUCUCCGGGCUUAACCCGGAAAGGUCAGCCGAUACUGCGGGGCUAGAGUGCAGAAGGGGCAACUGGAAUUCUCGGUGUAGCGGUGAAAUGCGUAGAUAUCGAGAGGAACACCUGCGGCGAAGGCGGGUUGCUGGGCUGACACUGACGCUGAUGUGCGAAAGCUAGGGGAGCGAACGGG
rnacentral:rRNA from 1 species